rnacentral:rRNA from 1 species
UACGGGGGGUGCGAGCGUUGUCCGGAAUCACUGGGCGUAAAGGGCGCGUAGGUGGUUUGAUAAGGGUGUGGUGAAAGUCCGGGGCUCAACCCCGGAUCUGCCGUGCCGACUGUCAAACUCGAGGACUGUAGAGGCAGACGGAAUUCCGGGUGUAGCGGUGGAAAUGCGUAGAGAUCCGGAGGAAGACCCGGUGGCGAAGGCGGUCUGCUGGGCAGUUUCUGACACUGAGGCGCGGACAGCGUGGGGAGCAAACAGGG